UUUUAUUUUCUACGAAUCCCCUGGUUUGAACUUCUAGACCUUUUUGUACUUGAAGUUCCAUUUUUUCGGUUGUCUUUUUUGAACUUUUAUUCUUUAACUUUAACUCUCUCGGGGGCUCACUUUUUUGUGAGCAUGUUUGUAGAUACCGAAUAUAUUCUUUUACUGUCUGACCAACACAAGCUCAUACAACUUGUUGUAAGAAACAUCAUUUAAAGUAUGAUGCUAGUAGGGGAAUUUCCUCGAGCACCUUUUGUGCACACAAGUACACAAGGAUCUCCGCCUGAAUUAAGAAAAACUUGCAUUCAGGUUGCUAUGGACUUUACACUUUGUACAUUGAACUCCCUCGCUGGAUAAAAGAGUAUAAAAGAGAUCAACAUAUGAAGUUGCAAAGAUCCAAAAUUUUAUUAUGCCACAAGCAACCACAUUUGAACUCUCUCAGGAUCAGUAUAUGAACUUCCAUAGUUUUCUUCUUCUCUGAAAAAAGCAUAAGCCGUUGUUGAAUUGCAACUCAAAAUUCAGUCUGUACGUCCGUAAUUUGCUAGAAAAUGAUUGCUAGUGAAUCUAACAAAAUUCUAAACAAAUCAGCUCAUGGCAUGUGGAUCUUUUUUGCAUCCUGUCGUAGUUGAAGCCGUUCUGUAGUCACGCAACAAAUUAGAAGAGAAAUGCAAGUGUCAGGAAGAAACAAAAACUCAAAAAAGGUUGCAGAAAGUCAUAUAAAGAGAGAAGGGAACAAGAGUAUGAGGAUGAAGGUGACCUCGGCUGAAUCAGGGGAUCUGACGGCCACUCAUCCUGUUCAAGGUGGACCGAUGGCUCAGGCGAAGUGGGACUGCCCCUGGUGCUGUGGCAGUGGAGCCCCAUCGGGAGGAGGCACCAUAGUUGACGGUCCCCAGCAGGAUGAGGUGGAGGGCGACGUGCAGGGGUGCGGGAGAUGCAAGGGCAUCUCUGGCGGAGGACGGCGGCAACACGCAGGGAUGCAGGUGUUCAGCGGCGGCACGUGGAGAUGUUGUGUCCCGGCAGCGCGCGGGGUGCGGGGUUUCGGCGGCGUGCGUGGAUCCAAAGGUCCGGCGAUGGUGGAGCAGGGGAACGAAGACCCCGACGGCGGCGGGGGUGCGGGAUUCCCGACGGCGCGCGGGGGUGCAACUCCUGCGCGCCGGACAGUGCGGGGGAUCCCGACGGUGGUAGGGUGUGUCGUCUCCGGUGGAGCGCUGGG
rnacentral:lncRNA from 1 species